rnacentral:lncRNA from 7 species
GGGAUCUGUCGCAGAAGUUCGUCAUCUGCGCUGUCGUUCGGGUCGAGAAAAGCAAUGUAGAAGCUUCGUGAUUGCGUGUGGGAGCUUGGGAGGGCAUUGUCUGGCGAGGGCUCGGUCGACUUUAGCCAGAAUUGCUCAUCGGCGUUCCAAACUCGCUGUCGAUCGCUCUCCGGCAUGGCCAGCAUCCUCCACUACGAUCGCUCGG